GGGCGCAUAGCUCAGUUGGUAGAGCGCCUGCCUUACAAGCAGGAUGUCAUCGGUUCGAGUCCGGUUGCGCCCACCA
rnacentral:tRNA from 1 species